rnacentral:lncRNA from 13 species
GAGUGGACAGUAAGUUCACUCUGAGCAUCCCCUCCUCCAUGAGAUGAACAGGAGAAGCGUGCCUGCUGCUGCUGUCCUAGUCACAUCAUCCUGCUUUGCACCCGGGCCAGCAAGAACCUGUUGGUGCCAUGGGGAUGAGGGGCGUGUGUGUGCAUGUGUGUGUGGCAAACCUGAGCCCAGCUCAGAGCACUGACCCAGCUAAAUAUCCAUGAUUUUUUUUUUCUUUGCUUGAAAUUUUUAUUGAGAUAUUCGUAGAGCCACACGUAGUUGUGAGGAAUAACGUAGAGAGAGCCCAUGUGCUCUUUACCCAGUUUCUUCCAAUGGUAGCAUUUUGCACAAUGUCACAAGUGGGAUAUUGAAAUUGACACAAUGCACGCACCUUCUUCAGUCUUACUCAUUUAUGUGUGUGCUUAUUUGUUCUGUGCAAUUGUAUCGCAUGUGUGACGUCCUACACACACCGCUUCAGUCACGAAAAUGGUUCCAGCUUCGCAGGCUCUCCCUGUAACUGUUUGAUGAAAGGCCACAUCCACUUCCACUCCGCCUGUGCCUUCCCUACCCUUCCUUUUGUAAUCCUUGCCACCAAAAUUUAGCCAUAUCAAAAAUGUUACAUUGAGAGAAUCCCACAGUGUAACCUUUUGGGAUUGCCUUUUUUUUUUUUGCUCAGCAUGAUUUCCUGGAGAUCCAUCCAAGUUGUCGCAUGUAGCAGUGGGUUCCUUCUGUUGCUGAGGAGUGUCCCAGGGGUUGUCUGGAUCACAGUUUCUUUAGCCACUCGCCAGUGGAAGGACAUCCAGGCGGAUUCCCACUUGUUGCUAUUACAAAUGCAGCUGCUACAAAUUUUGUGUGUAGAUUGUUGUGUGAAUAUCCUUUUCGUUUCUCCAAGAUAACUGUCUAAAAGAACAUUGUAGCAUUCUGCUUUGAUGUUUGGCCCAAGGAAGAUUUUACAAAAUGCCUGUCUUUGUGGCUUUCUCACUGGAGAGUCGGCAGCUGGUGUGGAAUUAUGCGGUGAACAGAAGAGCACACCUUUCACGUUUUCUCUCCUGGAGAAUGGAGCUACACGGGAAAGCAUGGAGCCUUCAUCUAGCGUGCCACCGCAAAGAUGAAGAAGAUGCCACCAUGUGCUGCUCUGAGGGAAAGGACAUUGACCGAGGGGUGAGAGAGCUCAGAGCCCAGCGCUUCUAGCGCACAGGGAAGAAGACAUACAGCAAGGUGAUACUGCCUCUCUUGCUCGGGGCUGUGUGACUGAGUUCUGGCUAAUGGGACAUAGGUGGAAGGAGGCAUGCCAUGUUUGAGUCCAGUCCAUAAAUGCCCCCACCUCUUCAUUCCCCGUCUGCGGGCCCAGUGGAGAGGAGCUGGAGGAGGCCAAGUCACUGGAGGGAAGAUGCGAGGUCCCUGAGUGACCACGUGGAUGACUGCGACUCAGCAGGGAUGCCUACAGAGGGCUUUGUGCAAGUGAGAAGCGGGUCCUGACGGUGCCAGGUGAGAAGCGGGUCCUGACCCUGUCAGGUGAAAAGCGGGUCCUGACGGUGCCAGGUGAGAAGCGGGUCCUGACGGUGCCAGGUGAGAAGCGGGUCCUGACCCUGUCAGGUGAGAAGCAGGUCCUGACGGUGUCAGGUGAGAAGCGGGUCCUGACGGUGCCAGGUGAGAAGCGGGUCCUGACGGUGCCAGGUGAGAAGCGGGUCCUGAC